AUUCAUUAUUCUAUUUUAUGUGUCUGACCUGUACUCCAAGAUCCUGACUUUUAGAUUCCUCUUAGUCAUUCUCAUGCAUUCCUCUGUCAAACUUAAGUCCUCAUUCUGCAUGCAAAUUACAUAUACUCCAGACAGCAAUCUUUUAUUAUAGCAGUCCUUUUCAUUUCUUAUUAUGUUAAAUAAAAUUGAAUUCUGUCUUGGUUCUAACUUCUUCCCUGGUUUCUUUCUCAGCAGUUUUGUUGUGUUCUUACUAUAAAACUUGCAGGUAAAGUUAGAUAAGUGAGGUUACUUCCGGGCCAGUUUUCCUUGGGAUGUAUUGAAAUCACUACUUAGACUGUAGUAAUUCGUCUCUACUUUUUUAUAUAGCCUGUGCAUAAAACUUAAUGAGUAAAGAGGAUAAGACAAAGAAAAUAGAUUUAAUUGAAAGAAGCCAUUAUUUCUUUUGAAUAAAUUUAUACGAGAAACAAACUUUGUAAAUCUAAUCAAAGAUCUGACACAGGAUCUAAACUUAGAAGGGCUAAUAGGGAAUAAAGACUUUCUGUAAUUAUGUCAAAAGAUCCUGAAUCUUACAUAUCCAAAGGUCUUUGGAUAUCUAGACCCACAAGACACUGAAGUAUGAGACCAGUCUUAGAAAAAUGAAGAUUCCAAUGUUCAACCUGGAGAAGAAACUUAUGGAUUGUGUCACGCUAAACUUAGAAAUUAUAAUUAUGCAGUUGUAUUCCCAGUAGAUUUCAUUGAACAUGCAUGCCAAGGAGUUCUCUGUCAAACGAAAUAUACACAGUCUUAAACUAUGAGAAAUUAUAUUCUGUCUGAAACUUCCACCAGUACACUUCACAUUCUAUAGAUUUCUAUUGGCAAAUGUUUCAUACAAAUUACAGGAAACUCUCCUUAUUACAAAACAUAGCCCUGAAGGUGGCCCUCGGAUAUAUAUCUUUUCCAGAGAUGAUAUAAAUAUUUCACCUAUGUGGGAUUUCUGUACUAGAGAUCUAACAACCUUAUAGAUGAAACUUGAAGGAAAUUAUGCUAGCAAGGAACUUACUGUUUCUUCUGCAUAUUUUCCUUAUGAUACAAAUGAACUUCUGUCUGCCACAAGUUUUCCGAAUUUUGUGCAUUUGGUAUCAGCAAAAACAGUUUGAUUUAUUGGUUAAUGUUGAUACUAAUUCUUACUGCUUAGUUUGGAGAAGCAAGGAAAACUUAUUCAAAGAGAGGAAUACUUAUUGGAGUUCCUGAUGAUAAGUACUAGUCUUAUUUGUUUUAAAUAAGGAAAAUGAACUUACCUUUAUUGCUAAAAGCAGAAGAGAGGUCAUUGAUAUAGCAUUAGGGACUCAAACUAUUUCUGACCUAACUGAAGUCAUAAACAUUUUUAGUCAUGUUUUCAAUGAGCUUUCUGCUUCAGAUCAUAAGUUGCUUCAAUCUAACAAGCAACUUACUCAGAAUCUUUUUAUAGUCUCAUUGAAGAAGAUAUUGUCGUUCAUGUGUAAUAAGGGAUGACUUAUGAGAUGAUCCUCUUAGAGAGGUGCACAAUAGAUCACUGGUUGAUCAUAAGUGCUAGGGCUAUUUAAAUUUGAAGUACCCUUUUCUUACAAUCAUCAUCAAUCACAUUAUAUUUGUGUUAGGGGAUUGAAAAUAAUAAAUCAGUAGAUUUUAAUUUAAUUAGAUAAAGUAAGCACUGCUCAGCAG
rnacentral:lncRNA from 1 species